UCAGACGAUGCGUCAUGCAUAUCAAUAAGCGGAGGAAAAGAAACUAACAAGGAUUCCCUAGUAACGGCGAGUGAAGCGGGAAGAGCUCAAAUUUGAAAUCUUCAAGGUUCUACCUUGACGAAUUGUAGUUUAAAGAAGUGUUUUCUGUUAGAGGAGUGGUAAAAGUUCUUUGGAAUAGGACAUCAUAGAGGGUGAGAAUCCGUAUUUGAUCAUUCCUUCUAGCUUUGUGAUACACUUUCAAAGAGUCGGAUUGUUUGGGAAUGCAGUCCAAAAUGGGUGGUAAAUUUCAUCUAAAGCUAAAUAUUGGCGAGAGACCGAUAGCGAACAAGUACCGUGAGGGAAAGAUGAAAAGAACUUUGAAAAGAGAGUUAAACAGUACGUGAAAUUGUCAAAAGGGAAGCGUUUGACACCAGUGUUGUUUUUCCGAAAAUCAAUUAUAAAUGGAUUCAUGCCAGAGUUGUAUUGACCUUAUCAGCUUGCAAUUUGUCUUUGGAUUCAACUUUUGUAAUGCACUUUUCGGUUAACAAGUCAACAUCAAUUUCCUUUGCUGUAAAAGGCAGUAUAGGAAGGUGGCUUCAUUUCGGUAGAAGUGUUUAUAGCCUUUAUACUCUACAAUCGGAGAGAUUGAGGUCUGCAGCGUAGAUCCUUCGGGGUUAGAUACACUUUGUGCUAAGCUAUCAGCUUUUCAUAGACAACUUGUUGACUAUGUUUAGUCUUGUAGCUUACUCGCUUAGUGCUAUUUUACCUACGCUUAGGAUGUUGAUAUGCAUGACUGAUAU
rnacentral:rRNA from 1 species